rnacentral:rRNA from 1 species
CGGGGGGCAGCAGUGGGGAAUAUUGCGCAAUGGACGAAAGUCUGACGCAGCAACGCCGCGUGAGUGAAGAAGGCCUUUGGGUUGUAAAGCUCUUUCGGCCGGGAAGAAGGGUAUUUGUGUUAAUAGCAUAAGUAUUUGAUGGUACCGGAAGAAGAAGCACCGGCUAACUUCGUGCCAGCAGCCGCGGUAAUACGAAGGGUGCGAGCGUUGUUCGGAAUUACUGGGCGUAAAGGGUUUGUAGGCUGGAAUGUAAGUCAAGUGUGAAAUCCCCGAGCUAAACUUGGGACGUGCAUUUGAAACUAUAUUUCUUGAGUAUCGUAGAGGGUGGUGGAAUUGUAGGUGUAGGAGUGACAUCCGUAGAGAUCUGCAGGAACAUCAGAGGCGAAGGCGACCACCUGGCCGAUUACUGACGCUGAGGAACGAAAGCGUGGGGAGCAAACAGGAUUAGAUACCCCAGU